GACGAACGCUGGCGGCGUGCUUAACACAUGCAAGUCGAACGGAGAGGCCCUGCUUUUGUGGGGUGCUCGAGUGGCGAACGGGUGAGUAACACGUGAGUAACCUGCCCUUGACUUUGGGAUAACUUCAGGAAACUGGGGCUAAUACCGGAUAGGAGCUCCUGCUGCAUGGUGGGGGUUGGAAAGUUUCGGCGGUUGGGGAUGGACUCGCGGCUUAUCAGCUUGUUGGUGGGGUAGUGGCUUACCAAGGCUUUGACGGGUAGCCGGCCUGAGAGGGUGACCGGCCACAUUGGGACUGAGAUAGGGCCCAGACUCCUACGGGAGGCAGCAGUGGGGAAUAUUGCACAAUGGGCGGAAGCCUGAUGCAGCAGCGCCGCGUGCGGGAUGACGGCCUUCGGGUUGUAAACCGCUUUCGCCUGUGACGAAGCGUGAGUGACGGUAAUGGGUAAAGAAGCACCGGCUAACUACGUG
rnacentral:rRNA from 1 species